rnacentral:rRNA from 1 species
GACGAACGCUGGCGGCGUGCUUAACACAUGCAAGUCGAACGGAAAGGCCCUGCUUUUGUGGGGUGCUCGAGUGGCGAAAGGGUGAGUAACACGUGAGUAACCUGCCCUUGACUUUGGGAUAACUUCAGGAAACUGGGGCUAAUACCGGAUAGGAGCUCCUGCUGCAUGGUGGGGGUUGGAAAGUUUCGGCGGUUGGGGAUGGACUCGCGGCUUAUCAGCUUGUUGGUGGGGUAGUGGCUUACCAAGGCUUUGACGGGUAGCCGGCCUGAGAGGGUGGCCGGCCACAUUGGGACUGAGAUACGGCCCAGACUCCUACGGGAGGCAGCAGUGGGGAAUAUUGCACAAUGGGCGGAAGCCUGAUGCAGCAACGCCGCGUGCGGGAUGACGGCCUUCGGGUUGUAAACCGCUUUCGCCUGUGACGAAGCGUGAGUGACGGUAAUGGGUAAAGAAGCACCGGCUAACUACGUC